GAAUGGCUGGAAGCAACUGAUCCAAACAUUAUUGGUCCCAAUCCUCAAUCCUUCUUAACAGCCCUUUGAGCUGCUUUUUCACUACCAGAGGGGAUCGUCAGCACUGUGGAGCUGACUAACGCAUCUCAUUUCUUUGGCUUGGGUAUGCUCCCAUCUAGAGAGGAUUUGUGAGUUGGUCAGAUAUUUUUCCCCCCCUUCACCAUUGGAGAGGCAUUCCCAAUCCAGAUCAGACUUGCGGUCCAUCUAGCCAUUAUUCUGCCUCUGACAGUGGCCAUCACCAGAUGUUUCAGGGGAAGGCGUGAGAACUCCACGAAACGUGGCGAUGAGAUAACCUGCCCCCAGGGAAAGUUUUUUUCCAGCUUCCGCCAAUGGGAGAUUCCUUCUCUUGAGAGCAGCAGUGCUAUCCUGAAGUGCUAGGCAGGUGCAAAAUGGCUGCAGAUUGUAAACCUGCGAACAGGAAAACUGGGAGUAAGGCUGUGGCAUAUGGAGCUUUAAGACAGAGAGUUUGCAUGGUUACUGCGCCUUUAAAAUUUGGAUCAUUCUGGACUGGCAGGGCUCAAAAGACAAGUCAGAAGGCAACUGUUGCAGCUGGACUUGGUUGGAGGCUGGACUCAAGAAUGACGUGACUGUGGCUGUAGCUGGCAUUUGAGUGCAGUUUUGGGAAAUUCACUGAGACAACCUCAGAUGAAACCUUUAGCAAGAGGAAUGAUAAAUAUUCAAAUGAGAUCUCAAUGAAUUUCUAAUAUCCGUGAAUGCAGCCAUAUGGGAUAUUACAAGAAGCCAGCAGAUAAGAAUGCUUUUUGAAUUCUUAUGCUGGCAUACAGUGGCGUUUGAUGUUUGAGCAGAUUUGGUUACAUUUGUACCAAUAAAUACUAAACACAGGAUGAUAUCAUUUCAUUUCCAGCCAGGGAUACCCAGUACCAGAAUAUCUCACUCAAGCAAACCAAGUGUAAUUUCAGAACUGUGAACUAAAUGUAAAACAGGGACCGGGAAUCUUUGUGGAGAUGUAGACAACUUGUGUUGGUUGGGUUCAAAGUUGAAAUAUGUGCAAGAGCCGCUGUAUAUUUUUGACUUGUGAGACCCAGAUGGUGGCUUUUUUAAUAAUUCAGAAGAAGUUAUUAAAUAUAUCAAGAAGAAGGUAGGAGAGCAACGCUGAAAGAGACCAGGACAUGCAUGAGGCUUGUUUUCUGGAGAGUUUAACUCAAGUCUGGGAGCUUAUAGAGGGGGGAUUUUCCAGACACUGCAAAUACAAAGUGGAUCGCUCAUGCUCUGCUCUGAGUGUCCUGCAGACAAAGCUCCCAAUCCUGCAAACUGCCGGGAGCUCCAGGCAUUGAGGAUAGCAAACAAACACACUAUUGAGGGUUCUGCCCUCUUCUUAAAGGCACAGUUCCCAUUUCUAUUCAGGGCACAUGGUUAACAAUGCAUCCACUAGCAAAAUACAAUGAGUACAAGUACCACAAUAAAACAAAUAUUUAAAAAACAUAAACAUUCACUUCUGAAUAUUUUCAGAUGGCAGUGAUUCCAGGCUUGUCACAUGUACAACGAGAUGUUGGUCAGAUGAAUCUGUAACUUACAAAUGUUUUACAGGUAUCCUAGUAGAAUAUGCAAUACUAUUCCUAAUUACUUAUCAAUGUGGAGGUAAUCUAGGGACAUUUUAAAGAAGUUAAGGGGCCCAUAUCUGAAUUUAAAUGUGCUAUUGUUUCUAUUGUAAAUAUGUUAGUCUAUUUUAAUGUUUCUGCUACAGCUCCUUGUAAUGUUUUCAUCUGAGUUCCCAGCAUAUAUGGCUGUUGUGUUAUAUUUCAGUAUAAGUAGGUUUUUAUCUGAUGCAUUUUAUGUAUUGAGAAAAUAAACAUUUUAAA